rnacentral:rRNA from 1 species
UACGUAGGUGGCAAGCGUUGUCCGGAUUUAUUGGGUUUAAAGGGUGCGUAGGCGGUUAUAUAAGUCAGUGCUGAAAUAUCCCGGCUUAACCGGGAGGGUGGCAUUGAUACUGUACGACUUGAGUAAAGUUGAGGUUGGCGGAAUUGACGGUGUAGCGGUGAAAUGCUUAGAUAUCGUCAAGAACACCGAUUGCGAAGGCAGCUAACUAAGCUUUAACUGACGCUGAGGCACGAAAGUGUGGGGAUCAAACAGG